rnacentral:rRNA from 1 species
GUGAAUCAUCGAAUCUUUGAACGCAUAUUGCGCUCUCUGGUAUUCCGGAGAGCAUGCUUGUUUGAGUAUCAGUAAACACCUCAACUUCCAUAUCUUUUUUGAAAUGGGAGUUGGACUUGAGUGAUCCCAACGCUUUUCCUUACCGAAAAGUGGCGGGUUACUUGAAAUGCAGGUGCAGCUGGACUUUUCUCUGAGCUAUAAGCAUAUCUAUUUAGUCUGCCUAAAAAACAGAUUAUUACCUUUGCUGCAGCUAACAUAAAGGAGAUUAGUUCUUGUGCUGACUGAUGCAGGAUUCACAAAGACAGGCUUCGGCCGACUUUGUAAACUCGAUCUCAAAUCAAGUAAGACUACCCGCUGAACUUAAGCAUAUCAAUAAGCGGAGGA